rnacentral:lncRNA from 1 species
AGCAGCAGCCUCCCUCCCCUCUCUUGUGGAGCCAAAUCCUCCUCAGCAUGGCAUCUGUAGGCUUUGUUAAUCUAGGAGUCUGACCACCCACGUCCUCAGCUGGUCCUGUCCCUCCACAGCCCUCUUCUCCCAGCCCUUCAAUCAUCUCUCCGGACUAUAAGCUUAUUAAGAGCACGGGAGUAGUCAGCACAUCAAGUGUUUGGCACCGGGGUGAGGUGACUGACUACAGCUCUGGGAAGCUCCGCAGAACAAACACCAGAAUGAACGGUGUCUUCAUUCUCCAGUGAGAGGACUUUGCAUCCUGACUUUGUGUACUCUUUCAGGAGCAGACCACCAGAGACAGUCACACAAGGGGAGGGGAGAUGGCAUUG